GCUGGCAUGGCACAGGAGGUAGCGCACUUCAUUGGUAAUGAAGAGGUCACGGGUUCGACUCCCGUUGCUAGCU
rnacentral:tRNA from 1 species